GUAACACGUAUGUAACCUACCCUUAUCAGGGGAUAGCCUCUCGAAAGAGAGAUUAAGCCCGCAUAACAUCAUAGUAUAGCAUUAUACAAUGAUCAAAUAUUUAUAGGAUAAGGAUGGGCAUGCGGAACAUUAGCUAGUUGGUAAGGUAACGGCUUACCAAGGUACGAUGUCUAGGGGAUCUGAGAGGAUGACCCCCACACUGGUACUGAGACAACGGACCAGACUCCUACGGGAGGCAGCCAGUCACAGGAAUCAAUUCGGUCAAUGGGCGGAAGCCUGAACCAGCCAUGCCGCGUGCAGGAAGACGGCCUACGGGUUGUAAACUGCUUUUGCAGGGGAAUAAACCCCCGUUCAUGAACGGGGUUGAAUGUACUCUGAGAAUAAGGAUCGGCUAACUCCGUGCCAGCAGCCGCGGUAAUACGGAGGAUCCGAGCGUUAUCCGGAUUCUAUCUGGGUUCUAACAGGGUCGCCGUACGUGGCUCUCAUAAAG
rnacentral:rRNA from 1 species